GCCCUAAAUCUAGCCUAACACACCUUUUAUGUUUCCAUUAAUUUAUAAAGAUACAAUAAAACAUUUUAAUUAUAUAGUAGAGGAGAUCAAAAAAUAUAUUAACGCCACAGAUUAUGUACCGCAAGGGAAAGAUGAAAUAAAAAUGAAAUAGUUUUAAAGCACUAAACAGUAGAGCUUUUUACUCGUACCUUUUGCAUCAUGGUCUAGCAAGUCUAAUCAAGCAAAAUGAAUUUUAGUCUGAACCCCCGAAACUAAGUGAGCUACUUCGAGACAGUCUUAAGAACGAACCCAUCUCUGUUGCAAAAGAGUGGGACGAUCUCCAAGUAGAGGCAAUAAACCUAUCGCACUUAGAGAUAGCUGGUUACUCAAGAAAAGAAUCUAAGUUCAACCUAAAGUUUCUAGAUUACACAAAAACAAAACUUUAGAGCUAUUCAAAUAAGGCACAGCUUAUUUGAAACAGGAUCCAACCUAUAACACAGGGUAAUUAUAUUAAACAAGUAACAAGUGGGCCUAAAAGCAGCCACCUACAAAAAGCGUUAAAGCUUAAUACUUAUUUUCACUAAUAUCACCACCAUUACAGAACCCUUCACCAAUAUUGAGUGACUCCAUAAACUUAUGGAAGCCAUUAUGCUAGAACUAGUAACAAGAAACAGAUUUUCUCCUAAAUGUAAGCCUAAGCCACAAUAGACAAACUACCGGCAAUUAACGUAUAUGAAAAUAUUAUAACAAAUUUAACAAGAAAACCCUAUAAACACACACGUCAACCUUACACCUGAACAUUAAAGGAAAGAUUAAAAGAAAAAGAAGGAACUCGGCAAACCAUAACCCCGCCUGUUUACCAAAAACAUCGCCUCUUGAUUAACAUAAGAGGUCCAGCCUGCCCAGUGACAAAAUUCAACGGCCACGGUAUCCUAACCGUGCGAAGGUAGCAUAAUCACUUGUUCUUUAAAUGGGGACUAGUAUCAACGGCAUCACGAGGGUUACACUGUCUCCUUUUUCUAAUCAGUGAAACUAAUCUCCCCGUGAAGAAGCGGGGAUACUCCUAUAAGACGAGAAGACCCCAUGGAGCUUUAAACCCAACUACACCCCCAACUUUUAAAGCCACUAAACCCCAGGGGCCCUGUUACGUUGGUUUUAGGUUGGGGCGACCACGGAGUACAAUAAAACCUCCAUAAUGAACAGAACUAUUCCUUUAUCCAAGAGCUACACCUCUAAGAAUUGAUAUAUCAACAUAAUAUGAUCCAUUUUUUGAUCAAUGAACCAAGUUACCCUGGGGAUAACAGCGCAAUCCAUUUCAAGAGCCCCUAUCGACAAAUGGGUUUACGACCUCGAUGUUGGAUCAGGGUAUCCCAGUGGUGCAGCAGCUACUAAUGGUUUGUUUGUUCAACAAUUAAAACCCUACGUGAUCUGAGUUCAGACCGGAGCAAUCCAGGUCGGUUUCUAUCUAUAAAAAGCUGCUCCUAGUACGAAAGGACCGAAACAGCGCAGCCAAUGUUACAACAAGCUGUCUUUUAUUACCUAUGAAUUCCACUCAAUUAGACAAAUUUAUUAUCCCCACCCUAUAUCAGGGUAU
rnacentral:rRNA from 1 species